CCUACGGGAGGCUGCAGUGAGGAAUAUUGGUCAAUGGGCGGGAGCCUGAACCAGCCAAGUCGCGUGAAGGAUGACUGCCCUACGGGUUGUAAACUUCUUUUAUAAAGGAAUAAAGUGAGGCACGAGUGCCUUUUUGUAUGUACUUUAUGAAUAAGGAUCGGCUAACUCCGUGCCAGCAGCCGCGGUAAUACGGAGGAUCCGAGCGUUAUCCGGAUUUAUUGGGUUUAAAGGGAGCGUAGGUGGGUUGUUAAGUCAGUUGUGAAAGUUUGCGGCUCAACCGUAAAAUUGCAGUUGAUACUGGAAGUCUUGAGAACAGGUGAGGUAGGCGGAAUGCGUAGUGUAGCGGUGAAAUGCUUAGAUAUCACGCAGAACUCCGAUUGCGAAGGCAGCUUACUAAACGGCCACUGACACUGAUGCACGAAAGUGUGGGUAUCGAACAGGAUUAGAUACCCUUGUAGUC
rnacentral:rRNA from 1 species